GAGUGAACUUAAAACUGCUCCAGGGGGGUCGGGUUGCCACGCCAGCAACCUGCACACGAACGCCCCCCUACACACACCUUGAUGCUGGGAAGCCCUUAGAGCCAGACCCGCCAAAGCCCCAUCCGGAAGGGUGGGUGCCUGAGCUGUUAUUCGUACAGCGGGAGAUAGCGGUCUGGAUUGGGUGAUCAGCAGGGUUACUACCUAAAACCCCGGCUUAGCGGCCGGGGCUGGUAGGCUCUCAACGACUGAACGGGUGUGGGUGGUGAUCCCGAGCUGCAACUUGCCCCCUCGGGGGCAAGGCGCGGAUUGGGCUAUCUGCUUAAGAUACAGUCUACUCCCUGGUGAAAGCCAGCACCCCCUUAAGUAAGGGGUGGCCCCACGAUACCAGGAGGAAAUGCCUGGGGUACGGGUGGUAUAAAGGAACUAUGACUAAACAAGGGGAGGGUCAUCAAAGCGGGGGGCGCAAGCUUCAUCGCUAGUAGGCAGCAAGCGGGAAUGGGUCGAAGAAACGAUGGGCGAUAGGGGAAAGGUCCGCCUUACCCCCGACCCCUGGAAAAAACGAGGGACUUAGCGGAAAAUUCAACCUUUCCUCCGACCCCUAGAAAAAAACGAUGGGACUUAGGGUUACGCUCCGGCGUUACCCCUGACCCCUGGAGAAAUAGACCCGGAUUUCCCGCUUGCCAUACUGCUACACUACCAAAUUGCUGGGAACUCCUAAGAGCCCUUACUACCAAGCACACCCCGGAAACGGGGGGUGUGGCCACGGCUAACGACCCUGGGUACGGUGAUAACGUAAGGGAUGCACCAAUGGAUUACCUGCAGCCAAACGCUACCGGAGAAACGGGCUUGUCCCCAGUACUCCCACGCGUGCAGCUCAACGACUAAACGGUAGUGGGUCAUAGCACUGAUUCCCGCUAGUAGCCACCGGUCUCGGUGUGUGAAAGCAGGGGUUGGUAAAAUGGCUUAAGAUAUAGUCUACGGACCCCCGAAAGGGGGAAAUCCGGCUUGCUCUUAAACAACCUUGAGAGAAACAGGGGGGGCGCUCUAGCAAAGCGCUUGGUACCCUCUAGUAUAUCAACGUCACGAGGCGGGGAAGUCCCCUAUGUUAGGCCUUGGCUCUGAAAAGGGAGUUGAAUGCGACACCACCUGGUUCGAGGGAGGCCUUGAUGGGGUUACAUGUGGAGCUGAUCAACUUGUAACCCCAAGCGAGGGGCUAAUCUCGAUGCGAAGCAGGGUCACGCCUGCUCGCGGUAACGUGCGGAAAGGGGUGGGUCUUUUAGGCCUAAGGAACGUACUAUUCCCACACGAGCCGGGCUUGCCCGGUGGAAGUGUGCCUGACUGAUGAGGGCUAACACCCGAGGCUUUCAGGGGAUCCAUUCUGGGGGGAAGCCUGCAUAUCCCCAGGAAACACGGUCUGGUAGCAGUGGCCCACAGGCGAACGUGGGUUAAAGAAGGUAGCCAAAUGCCUCGUCAUCAUACGUAAAAAUAGGCUUAAAAACAGCGAUCACAGACACGAAGGCCGAAGCCAGUACCGACCGUCACCCGGCAGGGAGACAACGGGGAAAGUGAACACCUGAGUGACACCGGGCCCAAGGGAUACUAGGGGGGCAAACCCCGACUGUCUUGAAGGCUUGCACCAAAUUGAGCGGAGGAUCCCCAGGGGUCCGAUGCACAGCCAAGCCCCGAGCCCCCCCCAAGGGGCAAAGGGAAGGUCUAGAGACUAUACGGUGCUAAAGCGGGGCUUUGCCGCCUUGCUGAGGAGAAAUAGUCCAUCGAUAGGUCAUGGAGGAGCUGUGGCGUGUGGCUUGUCUGGCUCUGACCCUCCCCCUCGGGGGCGGGAAAGGGCAAGGCACUGGUCAGUGGCCCGGAUGCUCGGUACUGACCGCUAUAGAUGUUAAUUUGUGACGCGCAUAUACCCAAAACGUGCAGGAAAGCCGAGGUUCCCGCCUUACACGCCCACUGGGGUGGGUGUAGGCGGGGAAUUAGGCUAGUCGCCUCAGUGCGGCAACAUCACCAAAUUGCGGGAACGCUGUAAAGCCCUGGAUACCAAGCAAUGAGCCCGAAAGGGCCGUGUGGCCAGCCUAACCAACUGGGUACGGUAUUUUCAGGGAUGUAACAAUCAGUCAUCUGCAGCUAAGCCCUAAAGCCCGCUUCACUGCGGCCAUGGGUACAGUUCACAGACUAAACGGUGGUGGGUGGAGGAUUCCGGCUUGUACCCUCUCGUCUCCCCUCGGGGGCCGGGAGGGUUGAGAGCUGGAUGAUACUGCUUAAGAUAUAGUCGAGGCACCCGGCGAAAGCCGGAUUUCCAACCUGGAAUGGAUUAAUGAGAUUCCCACUGUCCCUACCUACUAUCUAGCGAAACCACAGCCAAGGGAACGGGCUUGGCACAAUUAGCGGGGAAAGAAGACCCUAAACACUCAAUGGGGCCAACAGGAGGCGCAAAGGGCAACAUCCCCUAUGCGUGCAACCUCCUAGUCACGCCGACCAAAAAGAGGCCGAAGAAUCCCGCUUAAAAGUGAGGGGUUCCGAGGUAGUACAAGCAGUCGGCUGGCAAGAUAACCUGGUACGAGGAAGGCUUGAUUUUCCCGCUUGCCGGAGAGGGUCGAGUUGAUCUCGUGGCGAGCCCCUAACUAGGGCCGUCGUAACGCACGGUAAGGUAUCGGUUCGGGUUUUCCGGCUUCCGAGAGGAGGUCAAGGGGGGCCUGGGCUUAAGGAACGUGCUAUCCCCACACAAGUACGCAAGUGUGUUCCUCUGACUAGGGCUUGUACCCCGAAGCUUAGGAAAGCCGUGCCAUGGCUAUCUGGUGAAAGGAGGGUAGCUCCCCCCCAACACCCCCCAUGGAUCAACCCAGAGAGCAAAUGCUCUGGGCGAGGCUGGUAUCGAAAGGUUGAGCUUGACUCUAGGCACAGAAGCGAGGUGAUUCUAAAGGUGUAGCAUAGGUGGGAGGACCUGGUCCGCCCUUGAAAUACCACCACUUUCGACAUUGCUUUGCUAAUGCUGUAACGAACGAACGGCCCCCGGGCCGCUUGGGCCGCAAGGUUCAGGUACCCGGUAAGGUCAUAUUCUAGCGCUUUCCUGGCUAAUCAAGACGGCUUGGCCCCUCUGGGUGAGUACUCUGGGACCGCAAACUGGGCUUCCGGGUCUGGUGCGCGCUGCUCUCGGGGGAACCAGAGAUGGUUGGGCUGCCCUCUGUAUAGCAUAAAUAUGGGUACGUAAGCCGUGUAGCAGACCAUCUGUGUUGGGGAGUUUGGCUGGGGCGGAAAACUGCUACACGGCAACGGCAGUCUCCUAAGGUCCGCUCAGAGACGACAGAAACGCCUCGUAGAGCAUAAAGGCAAAAGCGGGCUUAACUUACAUUUUCAGUAGUAAUGUGAAGCAAGAAAUUGAGGCUUAACGAUCCUUAGCGUCGGGUGCCAGCCCACGCUUGAGGUGAGAGAAAAGUUACCACAGGGAUUGAUCAAAGGGGUACAGGAGGGGAUGUUCGAAAGACGGCUAUGUGGAUCGAAGGAAUGGGGAGCAAGCGGGGUUUCCCCGCUUCAGUACCCUGAACGGAGGUCUUCAAGUCGCCGACCAGAGGAAGGGUAUCUCAAAGGGCGAAACCGGGCAUGUGCAGGCCCGAAAGUAGCCCCGUCCGAGAUACCUGGAGGAUGGUUGGGCUGUGCGAGGGAGGGGGACUGAAGGCUAGAGGUGGAAGGUCCUGGGGGACUGAGUAACUGAAGCCGGAAUUUCCCGUACCGAGCUGGUCGGCGUUCGAUGCAAAGGCGUUCAUGCGGGGGUCAAAGCGAAAGGCGACAACUUCCCUAUCCCCGACGGGGGAGAGGGAGGGUAAGCCUGUAGUGCCGGCUCCUGCUGGUCCCGAUAUAAAACGAGUCGAGCUGGGGAGUAGCGCAGGUUUCCCCGGCAAGGCAACACACCUGGANGCUGGAAAAGCUCAUAUCAAUGGCGGUGGUACCAAAUGUUCUUCGGCGAUACCGAGGCAUGGAGUGGGCUCCAACGUAAGCCUCCAACCCCUCUCGAGGGUACGGAGCUUUGGAAGUUCACGGGUAAUAAUCCACCGACCAGAGCCUAUCAGCAGGCAACAAGGUCACUCAAAGGGCUGGGGAUACCGAGUUCAAGCCGUCAAGGCUAGAGCCGGCCCACUGGCUAUCAUGGCAACAGUGACUGCGUGCUUCAACGACUGGGAAGGUGUGGGUGCGGGUCGGCUGCCCUCGUUUGGGACCCCUUUCUAACCGGCAGGUUGGGCUUGGGGGACCGUAUAAACGGGAGGUGGUCAGCACGUGCUAAAGGAACAGUCUGCCCCCACAUACCGGGUACGGCCGCCUUGGCGGAUACGGCUUGGGAUGUGCUUUCAAUCACAGGAGGCACCCGGCGGGGGCCCACGGAACCAAGGCUGCGACCCCGGCAGGGGGAGCGGAGUUGGGAAAGUGGGCUCUGAGGUGUCUCCGCAACCCACUACUGCAGGGUUAGGUUGAAAGGGAGAAGAUGGCUUUCGUUCGAGUAGGGUCUGCACCGAGGUCUUUUUCACCCGUGCACCAAGAUCUGAAAGAGAGCUAUCGACUUUGGGCCCGGGAACUGGCUUGUGGCCGCCAAGCGUUCAUAGCGACGUGGC
rnacentral:rRNA from 1 species